rnacentral:siRNA from 1 species
AUCAUAUUUAAACAAGCAGUUGAC